CUUACAAAGGGCCUGGAAGAGUCCCUAUUAUUAUUUUCUGGAACACUGGAAUUCUCUUACAGAGAAAUCUUCCAGUGAA